CCACAAAUUUCAAAAGUCUUCAUUUUUUCUUAAAUUUCGUGCCCAGUCAAACAGGUUCACAUAGAUUGGAACGGAGGGAGUAUAAGAGACUGUUUCCACGGCUCAAACCAGUGGCCUCCUGGUCCGGUUGCCCAAGGCUCCCCUUCUACUAGUUGUUGACCUACAACAACCCGAUAAAAUCUUUAAAAAACAAAAGGUUAUGAGGAAAACCAUAUUACAAAAGAAAUAAAAAGGAACCUUCAAUAGGGUCAGUGAAUGGUUGUGCAGCAGCAAUUUUCAACAUCAAAAGGACAAGAAAGCAAAUACCCAGAAAACCCAUUACUGAGCACUACCAGCAGAGGCUUAAUUUCCUUUCUAAUCUGGGGAUGGUGCUG
rnacentral:lncRNA from 1 species